UCUUCCACUUUCUGUUUCCUCCAUAAUUCACCCCCUCUGCACUCAACAAGAAACGGAGACUCAAAACCUUUCUUCUCCCCAUAGUCCCGAACUGUACAGACUAUCUCAACAGCAGAGCAACCAGAAACCUCAAAAUGCAGUCUAUGCAGCUGCCGAAUCAGUGGCUGUGGGACAUGGUCGAUGAGUUUGUGUACCAGUUCAUAGCUUUUGCCAGUAUCGGGCUAAGAUGAAGAACAAGACUGAGCAGGAGAUUGCUCUUCUCAGGCAGCUCGUCUAGUAAUGAUGCCAGCCAUGUUAGUGCGAGCAUGGAUGAUAUUCAGAAGGAAUUAUCUCCUUGGUUAAACAAUUGGCGCCGGGGACAGAUGACAAUGGAGCUCAAAUUCCAUUCAUGAUGGCAAGUGAUGGGAUCAAACAGCGACGGCAGCCUGACCCAGCUGGAGCUGGGCUCACUGUUACGUUCGCUUGGGCUGAAGCCGGGACCGGAGCAGCUGGAUUUCUUGAUCCAGAAGGCAGAUACAGACGGUGAUGGGAGGAUCUGAGGACGGAGAAGGCUGCCGGCAAUCGAAAAUCUGGGUUGGGUCAGUCUGAGUUGAGUCAAAGAGCGCCGGAGAAUUGAGUCAGCUCUGUUCUGGCAGGAUUGAGACCAGUUCCGAGCUCGGCCACCAAGCAACCCAAGACUCAGCUUGCUCAAGCUCAUGGAUAAAUCGAUUUGAUCUGUCUCUGCUGAAGAUCAUCAUAACCGGCCACCGAUUUUCUUCAGACCACUUGUUGGGUGGUUGACGGUUUUUACUUACGCGAGCGAGUUUGGUGUGAUUGUGUUUUAUUGAAGACGCAACGGGAGUAUCGAGUUUUACACCAAACUUGAGCUUACUGCUAGGAGGAACUUCUGCCCAAAAGAUCCAUUAGAGCAAGUGCAGCGGUUGCUCUUGCCCGGUCAAAGAGCUCAGAUUUGCUGAGGUGUUGCCUAGUUAAAUAAAAUUUCACCUUCCACAGGCCUUUAUUUCACCGGUCAAGAUUUGGCUUUGCAUGACCAAGGGCAAAAAAAAGGGCAUGGCCAUGACAUUUUUCUUGCCCAGAGUCAAGGAGCUGCCAGCACUGCAAAAGGGAGAACGUGGGUGACAUCAGGAAGAAAAGCAAAGAGACAGACGCGGCAACAGUAAAUAUGAUGAACAGUAAAAUGGGAACAGUAAAAUUAAUCAUUGAAAUCACACUGGUGAACAGUGAAUUUACGUGAACAGUGAUUGUGGACAGUAAAAAGUGAGCAGUGUUGACUAGGCAAGAAAAACAACGGAUGUAAACCUAUGUCCAGUAGCAGUGAAUAGUAUCUUGACUGGUCGAAUUCUUGACUUCUCGACUUUGCAUUUUCUUGACUACGGGUGAACUUACUCUUAAUAAAAGCUCUCAUGUCUAGUUAAAGCUCAACUGCUAGGAGGAACUUCGGCCCAAAAUAUCCAUUAAUAAAAGUUCUCUCAUAUUCGAUGAAGGAAACAGUACUUGUGGCAUCAUUAGGGUAUCAAACGUUGUCCUCCUCAGAGCAUAUCACUCA